rnacentral:rRNA from 1 species
GAUGAACGCUGGCGGCGUGCCUAAUACAUGCAAGUCGAGCGAACAGACGAGGAGCUUGCUCCUCUGACGUUAGCGGCGGACGAGUGAGUAACACGUGGAUAACCUACCUAUAAGACUGGGAUAACUUCGGGAAACCGGAGCUAAUACCGGAUAAUAUAUUGAACCGCAUGGUUCAAUAGUGAAAGACGGUUUUGCUGUCACUUAUAGAUGGAUCCGCGCCGCAUUAGCUAGUUGGUAAGGUAACGGCUUACCAAGGCGACGAUGCGUAGCCGACCUGAGAGGGUGAUCGGCCACACUGGAACUGAGACACGGUCCAGACUCCUACGGGAGGCAGCAGUAGGGAAUCUUCCGCAAUGGGCGAAAGCCUGACGGAGCAACGCCGCGUGAGUGAUGAAGGUCUUCGGAUCGUAAAACUCUGUUAUUAGGGAAGAACAAAUGUGUAAGUAACUAUGCACGUCUUGACGGUACCUAAUCAGAAAGCCACGGCUAACUACGU